GACGAACGCUGGCGGCGUGCCUAAUACAUGCAAGUAGAACGCUGAAGGAGGAGCUUGCUUCUCCGGAUGAGUUGCGAACGGGUGAGUAACGCGUAGGUAACCUGCCUGGUAGCGGGGGAUAACUAUUGGAAACGAUAGCUAAUACCGCAUAAGAGUAGAUGUCGCAUGACAUUUGCUUAAAAGGUGCAACUGCACCACUACCAGAUGGACCUGCGUUGUAUUAGCUAGUUGGUGAGGUAACGGCUCACCAAGGCAACGAUACAUAGCCGACCUGAGAGGGUGAUCGGCCACACUGGGACUGAGACACGGCCCAGACUCCUACGGGAGGCAGCAGUAGGGAAUCUUCGGCAAUGGACGGAAGUCUGACCGAGCAACGCCGCGUGGGUGAAGAAGGUUUUCGGAUCGUAAAGCUCUGUUGUAAGAGAAGAACGAGUGUGAGAGUGGAAAGUUCACACUGUGACGGUAUCUUACCAGAAAGGGACGGCUAACUACGUG
rnacentral:rRNA from 1 species